rnacentral:lncRNA from 10 species
GCUUUUGUAGCCAGUUGCUUCCUGGGUGCUUACCACUGGUCGGUUUGCGGGCAGUCCGCUUUGUAGGAGCCGUGGUACAGAGACCUCCUUACUUACCCCCCUUCUCCUUCGGCUGGAGCUCGGCGAGCGAGAGGCGGCGCUGGCGUUGGAGAGCGACGGCGGCGCGGCGGCGCCUGCGAACACCAGGGAAGCAGCCUCUAACGUUUGAGGGUCAAUCCAGAUGGAGAGAAGAUAGAGGAGAAAGAGCCGAAUGUGACCCAACCAUAGGUCAUCUCUUGCAACAUGGCACAUGCUGAAUAUUUAGCCCAGCAUUAGGAAGACAUGGAUCCAAAAGUAUUGAAAAAAUGACCAGUGUGUGUAAAGGAGACUCCGAGAUUGACUACCAGACUUCUAGAAUGAUGUAACCAUACCUACAUAGAUUGGCUCAACAUAGGCAAACAUUAUUGGAGUCAUGGACAAGCACAGUGCAUACAACAUUUUGAAAAUUGAGGCCAGACGCUCCCUAUCAUCUCAGCAAAGACACUAAUUCAGCAGAGCUGGCCAGCGAAUCUUCGACAGGAAUUGAGGAUCUGAGCAACUGGGAAAAAAGGGAUGAAUGGGUUUAAAUGCUUGACCUGAACUCCUCAUCCAAUGACGACUAUUCAGAAAAAACAAACAAACAAACAAACAACAUCCAGAAGGCUGGACACGGUGGCUCAUGCCUGUAAUCCGUGCACUUUGGGAGGCUGAGGUAGUCGGAUCACCUGAGGUUAGCAGUUCUAGACCAGCCUGGCCAACAUGGUGAAACUCCGUUUCUACUAAAAAUACAAAAAUUAGCCUGAUGUGGUGGUGGGUGCCUGUAAUCCCAGCUACUCAGGAGGUUGAGGCAGCAGAAUUGCUUGAACCCAGGAGGCGGAGGUUGCAGUGAGUGGAGAUCACGCCACUGCACUCCAGCCUGGGUGACAGGGCAAAACUCUG